rnacentral:tRNA from 2 species
GCCCUCGUAGUUCAAUGGAUAGAACGACGCUCUUCUAAGGCGAUAAUGUAGGUCCGAUUCCUACCGAGGGCA